rnacentral:rRNA from 1 species
AUAACCAGAAUCCCGUGAACCAUCGAGUCUUUGAACGCAAGUUGCGCCCGAAGCCAUUUGGCCGAGGGCACGUCUGCCUGGGCGUCACGC